AGGUUUGACAUACAAGUAGUAGGAAGGAAACUGGACGACCCUUCGGGAGCUUGUACAGGUGCUGCAUGGCUGUCGUCAGCUCGUGUCGUGAGAUGUUCGGUUAAGUCCGCUAACGAGCGCAACCCUCGCUGUGUGUUACAAGUGUCACACGGAACUGCCGGUCAUAAGCCGGAGGAAGGUGGGAUGAUGUCAAGUCAGCAUGACCUUUAUAUCCAGGGCUACACACACGCUACAAUGGUCUGUACAAUUGGUUGCCAAGCCGCGAGGCGGAGCCAAUCCGUAAAGCAGGCCUCAGUUCAGAUUGCAGUCUGCAACUCGACUGCAUGAAGCCGGAGUUGCUAGUAACCGCAGGUCAGCAAUACUGCGGUGAAUACGUUCCCGGGUCUU
rnacentral:rRNA from 1 species